GUCGCACGGUCAAUCGCAAGAAAGAUAGUGGCAAACGGGUGAGUAAUACGUAAGUAAUCUGUCCUAAGGUGGGGAAUAAUCUACCGAAAGGUGGACUAAUACCGCAUGUGGUGGUUCUUCACAUGGAGAAUCAAGAAAGCCGCAAGGCGCCUUUGGAGGAGCUUGCGUCCGAUUAGCUAGUUGGCAGGGUAACGGCCUACCAAGGCGAGGAUCGGUAGCUGGUCUGAGAGGAUGUCCAGCCACACUGGGACUGAGACACGGCCCAGACUCCUACGGGAGGCAGCAGCAAGGAAUAGUAGACAAUGGGCGAAAGCCUGAUCUCGCGACGCCGCGUGAGGGAUGAAGGUCUUCGGAUCGUAAACCUCUUUUCUCAGGGAUGAAUAAUGACAGUACCUGAGGAAUAAGUCACGGCUAACUACGUGCCAGCAGCCGCGGUAAAACGUAGGUGGCGAACGUUAUCCGGAUUUACUGGGCGUAAAGCGUGCGUAGGCGGCUCUUCAAGUCGGAUGUAAAAUCUCCUGGCUUAACUGGGAGGGACCAUCCGAUACUGUAGAGCUUGAGUACAACAGAGGAGAGUGGAAUUCCCGGUGUAGUGGUGGAAUGCGUAGAUAUCGGGAGGAACACCAGUGGCGA
rnacentral:rRNA from 1 species